rnacentral:sRNA from 1 species
UCAAGAUCACCUUUAUCCUCUUCGCAUCCUCAUCUCUGUCUCAUUCAUUCGUGCAAUCUACCACUCAGUCUUCUCUCAUCUUCGGGUACGACUGCCUUAAAAGGCUUACACUCAAUCAGGUCUAGGCGGAAAAAAACACCUUACAGGAGCGGGUUGAACUCCCAUACUUGGGGCCUCGACCAUCAUGAAUGAAGGUAAUGAGCGAGAAGCUGCGCUGAUAAAGUAAGUGGUGGGGGCGACAGAAUCGUUGGCGGUGUUCUCUUGGGCGGCACCCGGAGAAGGAGGCAUAGGCUGCAGGUCGGCGAAGGACCAAGACUCGUAAGGACCGGAAACCCCAACAGUAUGAUUUCGAGCGCGUUUCAAGGGGGAAAUGGGCUCGUCGUCGGUAUAACAUCUUUUUCUAGGAAUAGGGAUGAUGGCAGAAGCCUCGGAGACUUCGGAACAAGAUGACAUGCUAGAGAUGGCACUACUACCGGAGAAGGAACGGGGAGUGCUGGGUCGAAUUCCAGAGCAUGGAGAGGCGGCGGACAUGUCGGGGAGGAAUCCAGUGAAGCGGUAUUUGGAGGUGGAGUUCUGAGUGAUCUAUGAGGUCUGUUAGCGGAUGGUCGCGGCAAGCGGCAGUCACCGAUCUUAUUGUUCUCCUUCAUCGUCAAAUAAUCUCUACACCCUUGCACGGCAUCCAGAAUCUUCUUCCUUUGUUCCUUACCUCUCUCCACCCUCUCCAUCAAUUUUUUCAUCGCGCUGCGAUCGCCACCACACCACAUAUUCAUGAUGUCAGUCCAUCCAGCCCGGCGACGGUAAUUAGUCAGAUCAGAAUCGACUUGGCUGCGCUGGAUGCCAGCAGUUUUGGCGAGAAAGUCUUUCUGUUGUGCGGUUGGAUAGGGAUAAGCAAGGUUAUCAAGGAACCAGAGGCGGACGACGGUAUGGUCAGUUGCAGACUCUGAGGGCUUUGGUGAAUUGCCGAAAGUGGAUUCGGGCCACGCAAGGCAUGACUCGGAAGAGGGACCGCGGCAAUAUCGUUUCGGCCGUGGCUCAUGGUUCCUCUGGCGACGUUUUCGACUUUGCCCUUAGUUAAACUAAUUGAGCUCGCAUACUAAGAUCUUGAAAGAUUUGAACUCACCUUCAUCUGGCAAAAGUGACUCUAUUCUAAGUAUUGCUUCUCCGACCGCAUCUUCCCAACCCUGUUCAAGUUUUAAGGCCGAAGAACCAAUGAGCUUCACACUGCGGGCCACAGCGUACGCCAAGCUCGCGGUAUUUUCGUCCAGUAAAUCAUGAGAAGAGCUCCACUUAAUGGCUGUUACCAAAUUGCUCCCUUUUCGGACGACGCUCUCGAGGUCAUGAACUUCACUUUUCCCUAGGGGUUGGGUGAAUGUCUCUUGAAAAUCCAGAAGAUCGUCCUGAAGAGACCUUUGGAUAGAUUGGGAAGAACUAUCAGAGGUCGAAAGCAUUAUUUGAUCAGCUGCUUAUUGUUUGUUGGCUGAUAUGCGCGAUGGUAUAUAAAGGGAAAGGUGGCAAUGGUAAAAAGAAAUAUCCUUAAACGUACACUAUUGCGUAUGGGCAUCAAGC